rnacentral:lncRNA from 1 species
GUCGUCCGUCUCCUCCUCUUCCUCGUCGCCGGAGCUCUCGGAUUCCUCGCGAUUCGGCGGCGGCGGAGACGGGUUCUUCGUGGCGAGAGGAGGGAGCACGUGGUUCUCUUCCUCCUCCUCUUCUUCCUCCUCCUCAUCUUCAUCCUCAUCGGAUUCCUGGCCCUUCUGCGGCGGCGGCGGCGCCAUGGCCUUGGGAGCGGCGGGAGGAGGCGAGUAGGCGAUCUCCUCCUCCUCCUCCUCCUCCGACUCUUCGGAUCCCGAACCAGAUGCGGUCUCCUCGUCGGAGGCAGCCGCCGGCGGCGGCGGCGGCGGUGGAGCCGAGCGCUUGGGGGCCAUCGCCGGCGCCUAGGGUUAGGGAGGUUUAGGCCAAGCGGGGGAUGGCGGCGCCGAGCUCGGGGGUUUUCCGGCUCCGGCGCCGUGGUUUGCUGCCUUUGUUUAUAGAGUCGGGCCGGGAUGCUCGUCCGUUGGAUGUCGAAAUGGAAUGCGAAUCCACCGUCCAUUUUGUAGGUAAACGCGGAUGGAAUCUGCGACCCAGCCUGUGAGAACUCGAACUGUCGGACCCUAUCGGCCGUUGGAUCGGGAGAUGUAGUCUUGAUCCACCGUCCCUUUCGAGACGCGGACAAGAACGGCGCCAGAACAUUUGUGUUCAUACAUUUUUGACACCAGCUCAACAUUCAGCUCAGCCAGGUCACCACUUCAGGUUCAGGAGCACAUUUCGCUAAGCUAGAGGAGGAGGCCUGUUGCAAAUUCCUGAUGAAUCAAUCAAUCAUGCAACGAAACCAUUUACCGCCCCAGUGCUCACUAUCGACCAUCACCAUUUCAGAAUCUGAAAUCAGUUGAACACGAAGCAACUACAGACACUCGCGCAGCAAAAACCCAAGGCCAUUGCCUACCUCACGGACACAACACUCACGGGUCUAGCAUUAUUCUCUGCCGAGUUGCUUUCAGAAACAACAGGAGAAACACACAGCUUGCCAGCAUGGUUGCAGGAUCGGGACCGGCGGCCAAGAAAAACCGCUCGCUUUGGGGUCAAUACUUUGCUUGGUUACUGGGAGGCCGUCAGGUGCAUCAGGCUCGAUGCGUCGAACAGCUCCAUGAACCUCUGAUCAGUGCUCCUGGCCUUCGCCGCCGCGAAGUGCAGGUACUCGUCGAAGACCGAGGACAGGCACCACUUCUGCAGCUUCCUCAGGCACCCGACGACGCAGCCAGUCCGGUGCUGAAAGAGAACAACGCAGCAGCCGUCAGGAAACUGCAGUCAACUGCUGAAGCAACUGGAAUGCAGGAGCUGCAGAAGUCAGGGCUGAUCGAUUCUUAGUUACCUUGCCUCUCUUGCAGUGGAUGAGGACCGGCUGGUUUCUUACAUCUGAAUUGGUUCAAAAGGGACAAGAGUUAGUGAUGUCAGAUGGUGAAAAUUGUAAUCCUGUGGCGUAGAGCAAAAGUCUUUGUGAAUGCAGUACCAAGAAUAACUUUGAGAGCCUCCCGGAUCGUUUCUUCAGGGAUGUAGACGAGUGGUUCCCCUAGCAACAGGGUUUCCGGCAUUGUCAGACCACUCUGUGGAUGAUAAGGAUUAGUAGGUUCCACAUAUUAUUUUGUAAUAACAGGGGAAAUAGAAUAAAAGAACGUUAGAAACAAAAAUGGAUGAAAAUGAACCGGUUAAAGCCAGCAAGUAUUUUUUCAAAAUUUUACGCAGAUGCAAUAAGGGCACACCAUGCAUAAAAGUUCAGUUGCAAGAUCUCGUCAUACCACUGAACAAAAAAAACACUAUCAGUAGAGCGGUCAGCGACUUGAAAGAGGGUUCAAAUAAUCGUUACCGUCAGAAGCUGUGUGCCUAAUUGAGUACUGGUGACAGAACUUUAGUGGGAGGCUACCCUAGUUUCGUUUCAGACGACAUGUAUGAUUCCAUUGCGGAAAAUAAUCAACUUUUAUGAAAAGAUAAGUUUUUCUUGGCACUCGCUCAUAUAAGGUCAACCACCUCAAUGUGACACCACUGAAUGAUGCUUUUCCAUGGAUGCCAAAGUCAGUCAGUAAACAAGCACUGUUAAUUACCGAUUGAAACAACUGUCAGUGAACGCUUAAGCUGACAGCGCUGUCCAAACUUGACCAUACCACUAAGGGGGGCAUUUGGUUCCUUGAGUUAAAGUUUAAUCCGUGUCACAUCGAAUAUUCGGAAGCUAAUUAGGAGGACUAAAUAUGAGUUAAUUAUAAAACUAAUUGCAUGGAGGCUAAACGACGAGACGAAUCUAUUAAGCCAUCAUUAACAAAUGGUUACUGUAGCAGCACAUUAUCAAAUCAUGGACUAAUUAGGCUUAAUAGAUUCGUCUCGCCGUUUAGUUUCCAUCUGUGCAAUGAGUUUUGUAAAUAGUCUAUGUUUAAUACUUCUAAUUAGUAUCUAAACAUUCGAUAUGAUAGGAGGGAGUAACCAAACCAGGCCUAGGCCCUAGCUUCAAGGACAAGAAUCGAAUGUGCAAUGUGUUCUCACUGAGUCAACAGUACUCAGAAUAUAAAACCAUAAUUGCAGAAUACACGAGUACCAGAGCUAUGCACAUCGUUAUACUGAUAUAUCUAAGGCACUGGGCCUACAUAAACUCAUAAAACAGUUUCGUGAAAAACAUUUCUACUAAAAUUGACCUCUGAACCUGGUGAAAUCUGUUUGUUCGGACUCUAAGCAUCAGGAGGUUCUGUUGCAGUUAGGCAUACACUAGCAUGUGUGAUGGCCUACCUAUACAGGAAUCAAUGUAUAAAUAUGGGCAGCAUUGGUAGAAAGUGAUAUCACGAAGACAUGUUUCAGUGAAAGACCAGAAAGGUAAGCAAUGAGGGAGUGGGGUUGCACACAGAAUGAAGAGCUACAAGAUGGGAAUCCCUGGUCUAUCUUCGUGCUUACUGGAAUCCCCGUCAUCACCAACAAAAUUAACUAUUAGAGAAAUAGCAUUGGUCAAACCCCACCCGACAGGUAAAAGUAUCUUCUAUGUGUUACAGCCUUACAGGCACACUUUGCCAAUAGGCAGAGUCCACCUUUUGUUUUCAGCUCUUGUGCUUAUUUUACUCCAUCUGACCAAAUUUUUUUUAAAAAAAGCCCUCCAUCUGAACGCUUAAGCUUUACCGACUAAAAUCACUAUGAAUCAUGGCCACAAAAAUGGCCAUAAAGCAUAGGGGAAUCUCCUAAACCUGAAACAAAUGAUGCUGAAACUGCCACUUGUUUCGCUGAGAAGCAAAGUCCUAAAACAGCAUGCAGCCCACUUGAAGAAAUAAUAAAACAAGAACCACGCCCCCAGGAUGCAGAGGAUAAUGAAAAGAAUAGCUUUACUGUUGCUUAUGGGAAUGGCAAAAGAAGCUUUUGUUUUUUCCGUCAUGGGAUCCCAAAGCGGCAAAACCAAAGAAGAAGGGUGCACGGGAAGGGUCCUUGCAAUGGAGUGUUACUAGAUGACUCCUUUUGUAUUCAUGCAUGAACGGAUGAACCACUUGUGAGUUAUGACUUGUCAAUUUGCGAGGGGAGCACUGAAUCACUGAUGUGAUGCAGGCGUGCAGGAAAAUGCAUGUAGGAGGACGUGUAUGGAUAGUGAAACGGACAACUGCCCUGCCCCGGUGUUUGCCCAACCGCGUACGCGACGCGAAGACGCUGAAAAAAGGGCAAGUCCCAUGGCAAACAGAGUGUUCCACUGACUGCAACCUUUUGACCGCUGCAAAUCUGCAAUGCCAGUGCGAUACUGCUGCUGCUAAUGUUGACUGUUGUGUUGCGUUCGUGCAGAGAUUAUUUACCGCCACACGCAGAUCGCAACAAAAAAGGGGAAAAAAGAACUGGAUACAAAUAUCGUUCUGGCAUCCGCGGACGAGGUGCACAAAUCGAAGAUUUUCACAGGGCAUGAUUGAGAUGUUUGUUGGUUGGUUGGUCGGUCGGUACCUUGCUCCCUUCGAUGCCGAACUGGUGAAGCUCGAUCCCGUUCUGCUCCAGGAACCGCGCGUUCUCCUCCGGGUACGGCUCCGGGCACAGGUACCUGAUCACCACCAAAGCAACGUCGUUACAGAUCGUGAGAGGGGCACGAGGCACGAGUCUAUCGGAGCUUAUUAUUGAGCGCUUACACGAUGGAGCGCAGGUUGAGGGAGAGCAGGAAGCUGAAGUUGGCGGCGUCGGGGAGGCCCGAGCGGAAGAUGCCGUCGUCGACCAUGGCGAAGUUGACCGGCGGCACCAGGGCGUCGUCGCCGGCCCCCGCCUCUGGGAAAGGGAGCUUCGUCGUCGGGUGGUUCCAUGGCUCAAUGCCGAGGACGCCCGCGGCCUUGUCGUUCUGCUCCGCGUCCUGGCUCCUCUGCCUCGCCGGGACCUCCAGCUUCAUGGCGCGCGCUGAAACGGCAGGAGGUUGAUGACUUGCUGUGUGUUUGUUCAGUAGCAGAGCGGGUUUGGGACUUGGGCGUGUGUGAAGGGGACAUGGAGGGCUUGGUUAUUUAUAGGAGCGGGGAUGAGGCGAGCCGAUGCAGAGGAACUUGGAGGAGGACGAUGCGAAGGGGAAGCCGGGAAGGGGACCUGUGACACCGCGAUGCUGCGUGCGCGGUGCGCGCGUGUUGGAUGAUGACUGACCGGUGCGAGGGGGAAAAAUUGGGUGAAAGCGACGCGCGAAUAUAAUCCACUGUUUCUUGCGGUGUUGUAACACUUGGUAACUUGUGGGUCAUCGUGUGUUCAUAAUUGGUGGGUGGGUUGGGGUCGGGGAAUCGCCGGAUACGGCCUAUCUCUGAAUGCAAAACUAUUCUCUCUCUCUCUCUCUCUCUCUCUCUCUCUCUCUCUCUCUCUCUUUUGAAGCGUUUUGUCAGUGAGGGGAGUUUUGGUUGCGUUCAAACUUCAAAGCUCCAAAGCAGAUGUUGGAUGUGAGCUUCAUCCUGCUGUCGAAGCUCAGAUAUGUUUGUUUGAGCUUUUGCUUUCUGAAAGCUGGUUUUUGUUUCUUGUCAUGGAAUGCUGGCUUUCUGAAAGUUGGGUCCGUUUGGCAACCUAGCUUCUCCGAGGACGAGCAGAGACCGGACGAGCAGGGGUCCGAUGCGGAGGGCGGACGACGGCCGUCGACGAGGACGAGCAGGGGUGGAAGGAGGACGGCGCGAUGCGGGAUGCGGAGGGCGGAUGGCGGCCGGCGACGAGGACAAAGAGGUGCGGAGGGAGGGCGACGUGACGCGGGAUGCGUAGGGAGGAGGGCGGCGGGCGACAAGGACGAGCAGGGGCGGAGGGAGGACGGCGUCGAGGACGAGAUGGUGCCGGGCGGAGGGAGGCGGCCUGAUGCGGAGGGAGGAGGGCGGCGGGCGACAAGCAGGGGCCGGGUGGAGGGAGAAGGGCGGCAGUCCGAUGCGGUGCAGAGGGAGGACGGCAGGGGCGGAGGGAGGAAAAAGAAACGUACCGUUUCAGUACUUUACCGAUGGCAGGCUGGUAAAUACCGUCAGAAGCUCGUUUUCCUCUCCUUUUGAGCUUUCCAUUGUAUUUUGGAAAGCUAGAACUUUUAGUCCACAAAAAAUUAAGCUCGAAAGCUUACCGUUUGUUUGGUCUUUCAACUUUUGAGGAUGAGAAGCUGGCUGAAAGCUCAAACACAGCCCAAACAAACAGGCCUAGUCCACCGGGGGGCAGCGCCGUUGCGCGGUUCGUCCUGAGCCUUGACCACUGCGGCAGUGCGGCAAGAUCGGUGAGCUCAACCUUUUGGUCUCCGUGUUCUUGGCGUGCACGUUAUCUGGGCUUGAGCUUCGUGCUGCAGGUCCAACGGUCGCAGCGAGCCGGUACAGGCAGCGGUUGACGACAACAGCAUCCCGCCGUCUCGGAAUCUAGAAACUUUUGACGCCUGAAUCAAGUCGGAUCAAAGUUCGUCUCAAGAGAAUUCUGCCUUAAGCAGCAGUGCUGAAUCACAGCGAGAAAGACAGCGAAAUCGCAAAACUAGGGGAUGUUUGGAUACGAGAUGCUAAACUUUAGCAGGGUCACAUCGGAUGUUCGGAUGCUAAUUAGGAGGAUUAAACAUGAGGUAAUUACAAAACUAAUUGCACAGAUGGAGUCUAAUUCGCGAGAUGAAUCUAUUAAGACUAAUUAAUCCAUCAUUAGCAAAUGGUUACUGUAGCACCAUAUUGUCAAAUCAUGGACUAAUUAGGCUUAAUAUAUUCAUCUCGCAAAUUAGACUCCAUCUGUGCAAUUAUUUUUGUAAUUAGACUAUAUUUAAUACUUCUAAUUAGUAUCCAAACAUCCGAUGUGACAGAUUCUAAAGUUUAGCAGGGUAUCAAACACCCCUUAAUUCUACACGCGCGCUGCCCACGCUUCGCGGCGAUGCAAGGCGCGGGCCCCACGCCCAGGUACCGCUGGCCCAUGCGGAGCUGCGCCCCACGCUUGUUUUUUUCUUGUAAUUAUUAUUUUGUACAAAUUGUACUAAGUAAAUAUUGUAUCCGUAUAAGUUACGUGCAUAGUUUUUUUAACAACAUUUCUCCCAAAAGUUGAGACAAAUAUCACAUGUAUAAAUUGUGUAUAUCAUUAAAGUUGUAUUAUGAAAUUAUCAUCUAAUUUGUUGUUAGGAAAAAAGUUAUGCAUAUAAAUUGUGUGUACAAGUUACAACUUUCUAAACAAACAUAAUUCGAAGUUAUUCUUGCAAAUUGUAUCUAGAAAUAGUACGCAUAAGUUCUGCACACUAUUAAAGUUGUGCUAAAAUUUUAUCUCAUAAGAAAUUAUAUCAUGAAGUUAUGCAUCGAAGUUAUAUGUAUAAGUUAUGAUAUUAAAAAAAUGAAAAGUCGCGGGAUUUUAAACUUUUAAAAAAGAAAGCCGUGAGGGGAUGGGAGUGGGCUGUCGGGGAUCGAGCGCCGGCAGCCCUUCUAGCGCGCGCUGAUUAGUGCUGCCCCAGCGAAAUGCUGCAGGGUGACCGACAUUUUAUUGGAAGGCCAAUUCUUCCACGAUAUUGAAAAAAAAUACCCCGUGAUAAGACAUGUCUGGCUUUGUAUAACCAACCCCCUCGCGAUAUCUGAAGAGUUUUUAUUGCCAAAGGAAAUUCCAUUUCGACGUCCCAAUCAGGCAAACGGAAAAUCUGCAUACCGAGUCACGAGCCAUUGCACAAGCUUUCCCUGUGUUCCCCCAGUGGCAUUCGAGUUUAGUGGUGCAGAGCAGAGAGCAGCAGACACAGAGAGGGUCCUCCUCAUCUUCAACCGCAAGCACGGCUGCUGCAGGCCACUGGACAGGGAAAGGGAUUCCUCUUUGCCAGGAUCCUAUUUGCCCUCCCCGUCUCCUUUGCAUGUGCGGUUAUCGUUAAACAGUGCGGCCUACCUAAAACGGUGGCUCGGUGGUUCUCGAUUGUCAGGGUGGAAGCAGGUCUGAAGAUGAAUGUUUGUUUGGCGCACACAUUGUUUUAAUACAACUACGAUAUUGUGUCCAUUAGCUCAAGAAAGGCAGCAGGCUAGCAGAGUCCUGGCGCUGGCCGUCACCGGCGCCGUAGGCUGCAAGGUAUCGAGUGGGUUUUAAGCUUGCAUGAACCUAAUACCAAAUCUUUUUUUUUUUUGAAACGGCUAAUACCAAAUCCUGCAUGAUACACAUGGUGACAGGGUCGUGGUUUCGCUUUCAAUCGACUCCUAAACGAGAGUCCUGUUCCUUACGAACUCUAGAUCCACCAAUUUAUUGUUUAUCUAUCUUGCAGUGGGGGAUCUUCAGAUGCAAACAGACGAUCUGACGAACCAAACAGUGGAUUGCUUGCUCAAAAGAGAUGGUACUCCGUAUAUCCCACGUUCGUUUCCCCCCUCUUUGCAGUAUGGGUUUCGCAGUGCAUUCGCUGCUACUAGCUGCCUAGCUCUGCUUCUGCGCGUGCCUUCCCUCAAAUUUCUACCGAAUUUUCGCGCACCAUGGAUCUGGGAGUGGUUCCCAUGGAUUCUCUGUUUCAAGCUUGUGCUGCGAACAGAACGCAGGCAAAGGCAGUGCCGAUCAGGGGAAAAAGGGGACCUGAUAACAGCACCAUUGCCCAAUGCUAAUGGCUGCUUAAUACACAACAUAAAGUACAAACAACGACAGAAAGGGAAAGAUAGAAAGGAGGGGGCAAUCCAUGCAUUCCUAUUGCUCCAUGGAUCGCUCUUUACCUAAAAGCACGAGAACAGAUACUACCAAUUGCUGGUGCCUGAGGAAGCAUCUCACUGGCGUUGGGCAAGCGAAAUGGGGGCGAAGAGACAGCGCCCAAUGGCAGCGGACGGGACGGAAAACGUCGCUGCUCGGCUGUCGCUGUCAAGGUGCUAUUCGACUCCAGUGGCAGUGGCAGGACGGGGCAAAUCGGGCGCGUUCGGGAUCGGAACAAACGGCACGCUGAUUGACCAACUCUCCGCAGGACAGAGGGGACAGGUGCUACAGCAUGGUCCUUGUCCAUGGGUGCGUCUUGAGAAGAAGAUAUCAUCGCUACAGGCUCGCCUGAUUCUGAUAGAGCGUGCGACGAGCUGUCGAUCUGAAUUACGUCAUCUCGCGGAGGUUGCCCAGUUGCCCACUCUGGAUUUCUGAAGCCUCAGUAUUCGCCCGGUCAUGCAGAGCCAUUAUCUAACAGUAAGCUUUUGAUCUGAAGAAGAAAUUAAAAGGAGAAAGACGCUUUGUAUGAAUCGUAUGGCCGCCGAUGCUCCGUACGGUCGCUGCCAGUGACCGUAUCUUAUGUUAUCCGUCUCCGCUCCGGCAACAACCUUAUCCUACGUCCUCCAAUGAUAUGGCCACCGUUUUGCGCUUUGCAAGAUCCACGGUGCACGCACGAAACCAACCUCUUCGCCAACAUCUUUUGCUUUCCAUCUACUGGUCGUUCUUACUACAAGCUUCGAUUGGAUGGGUCUUUCAAAAAAAGAAAAAAACUUUCACUUGGAUGGUGAAGUGCUAGUGCUACGCUGGCUGCCCGCUGCCGUGCUACGGGAGGAGCUGUAUGUAUGGCUGCUUUUGGUGUGGCCUUUUUCCUUUUUUGAUAAUUAGCGUGGCCUUACGAACUAGCUGUGCAACAAAUUAAAGGCGCCCGUAAUUUGUGGGCGUUUUUCUUCUCGCGGGGACCGGGUAAAGCUGCAACACUCACGCUCCAAAAAACUUGAUAAAACUUUUGCGGAAAUCCAUCAGGGGCCGAGCAGUAUUGUUUUUCAUUUGGAAAAUAGCAUCUUCUACCUCAACCUCCGAAAAUGGCGUGACUAGGAGUUCAUUUUCUUCAGCUGAAACUUGAGGAAUAUCGUCAUGGAUUGCCUCCUCCAUAGACACAAAGUUGUUAUAUGAAGGACCAAACAACUUUUUAUAAUACUUGGUAAUAUAUUUCUUAAACAUUCCUCUUGUUCCAGCUGGAAGAUACGAGUAUUCCUGUACUUUCCAUUAGCCACUAACUGGAAAUAUUUUGUAUUCACAUCUCCUUCAAGUAACUCCUUAGUGUUUCCUCGUUGGUACUACUUUAAUUCUUCCUCCCGUAGCAAUUCUGCUAGUCCAUUAUUAAGAGAAUGUUUAAGAUUAAGCACAUUGGUGUCUAAAGGUGUAGUUUCUAACUUUUUAUCUAACUCACCCAGUUCAUUCAAGAGCCUCUUUUUUCCCUUUUUUAUAAGUACCACUAAUAUUUUUGCCCACCCCCUCAGAUAUUAUGGUAAGCGUCUGAUUUUUGCUUGCCAGGUCUCUAAGGGGUAUUGCCUUUAGCCACUCCUUGCCAGACAUCUCCAGCUCAAACUUGAACAACGGAUUGUUGUUAACUGAAACUGUUUCACCCAUAUUUAAGAACAACGGAUUGUGAUCAGAUUUCUCUAGUCAGUACUUGUACUAUGGUAUAUGCGGAAAUUUCAGCUCCCAUUCCGUGCAAGACAGGAUUCUAUCCAACUUUUCGAAAGUUGGGACCUUUAGGCUAUUGGCCUAAGUAAACUGGCUCCCUGAAAGUUCUAAUUCUCUUAGAUUAAAGGUAUCUAUUAUUAUGUUAAACAGGAACAACAACCUAUCAUUAUAAUUGGCAUUAUUCUUUUCGUGUGGUUCACGUAUAAUAUUAAAGUCACUACCUAUUAGAAUAGGUAAAGUUUUUUUAUACAUAACUGGACCAGCUCGAUUAGAAAAGCCUCUCUGUACUAUUAUUGUGCAUAUACACACACACCAACACUCAUCGGAAGCCAUCAUGUUUAUUUCUCACUUUAAAUUUAACAAAAUAAUCACCUUCCUCAAUUUCACCAAUAUCAAACGAUAGUAGAUUAACUCCAACCAACAUGCCACCAGAUCUUCCGCGAGGAGCUUUUCCAUGCCACAAAAAGUCCUUCCCACCACAAAGAUUUUUAGGAAAUUUUGUGAGUAGUUAUUCGUCCCGGUUUCCGAUAAGGUCACGAAAUCUAAACUUUUCUCAUGAACAAGGUCUGAAAAAAUUUGUAUUUUUUGUCUCCAAACCCAUUGCAAUUCUAAAAUAUUCCUUUCACUUUUUCUUUUUGGAACUAGAUUUUUUUCUUUCUAGGAGCAGCUAGUAAAUCAAAAAGAUCACUGCCCUCCCCAUUACUCAAACCCUCCACCACGUCACCACAAAACUGGUUUAAUUUAAGGAUAUUAAGCUCAUCAUCUAUAUCAAUUUCAUUUUCUAGAGUGGAGACUAAAUUAUUUCCAUUUAACUCUAUUACUUGAGGUGCAACCCGAAUCCUUCUACAUUCAAUAUUCCUAAGGCUGCUAACUGACUUACAAGUUCUAGCAUCUGUUGAGCCUAAACAAAUUCCCGUCUAACUAAUUUUCUUGACUCGUUACCUUGUUUAUCGGGCGCCUCUAAGUUUUUUUGAGCUUUGACUUUUGCAGCCUUCUCAACUGUCUCUUGAUCUGCUGGCAUCGCACUCCUCUUACUCUUGCGGGUGGGAGUAGCUGUAGCAACAGGUGUAGGCGCGGGAGAGAUAGCAUGUGAAGUGAGUUCAGCAACAGAUGGCCUGCUAGCUGAUUUCUUCCCUGUAAAAAAUUUCAAUGGCCGGCUGCCAAUAAAAUGCUUCAGCUACCCAAGCUUUGGUGCUCUCAGCUAUACCUGUAGCUUUAGAGCCACAGUGUGUCGAGCCCUGUUUGGGUUUGCUGGACCAGUGUAAUGACCGAAGUAGUCAAUGAGGCACUCAAUGCAAUACUGCCACCAGUGACAUUCCCUCCUUUUCCUAAUUCCUUCUCACUUUGGCCUGUGUUUCCAUUUCCCUUUGCAGGAUCUUCUUUGUUAGCCUCCUCCGGAUCCUUCUCUUUAUCCUUGUUUCCAUCCUCGUCAGGCUGAACAUCCAUAUCAAUUAGCUGUGGAUUACUUUCACCCCCACCCUCUCUCCACUCGAAAAGAAGGGAAAGCGACAAGACCGGAAACGCUUUUGACGAUCCGUACUACGAGAAGGAAACCCUGAACGAUCCAGAUUUCGAGGAAGGCAAGUCUCACAAAUCAUCAUCAUCUUUUGAUCCCAAGUGUUAUUAAUAAAAUAAACCUAGAUAAUAACCAGUUUACUUUGUAAGCUUUGCAUAAUUUCUUUAUUUCCUCUACUUAUAGCCAAGCCUAAUAAUUUUGAGUCCUCCUUGAUAUCAUGAACCCAAUAUACAAUAGGUCAUAUCAUGAUUCAUAAAAUUCUAAGGAAGAGAGUGGGUACUUUUAAAAAUAGCAUAAAAACAACUAAAGUGAGACUAGCAACCAAUUAAGGUUGGACCCGUGAGUAAGACGGUAGUCUCAACAGAGAAUCCUAUCCUAAAAAGCUUACUCUGGUAAUAUGAGGACCGGCUCUUGGGAAAGUCUUUCCAGUGGACGGUACAACCGCACAUGCCAAAAGUUGAUACAUGCAUGCUCUAUAUGCAAGUUGAGAUUUCGUAUUCCUUGCUUCCUUUUCCUUCUCAUCAUAUGGUGUGAAGGCUUUGUAAUCGAAGGGAUAGUUGGCUAUGUGCAUCUUGGAUGUACAUGCAUGGCUGAAAUCCAAUCAACGCGCAUGCGCUGAUCUCCACGUCGUGGGUAAAAUGGCCCUCUUGGAAUGAAAUGAAAUUAGUUCCUAAUAUAUGGCCUACUUUUGACUUUUGAGCCUGGUCCAUCAUCUAAAAAACUGAAGCCCAAUGGAGCCAAGCCCACCAGCCACAACUAAUCAAUCUCACUCAAGAUCUCCGACUUGUGCCUGCAUUUUGCAGCCAAUAGGACAACAGAGGCUAAGUCACUUGCAGAUACCUUGCUUGCCGCUGCAAAGGGCACGCCCCUCGAAUGCCUUGAGGCAUGUGCUUCGAACCUUACUUCAAUGGAUGAUGUGUUGGCCAAUCUCCCUGCUGGGCAGGAUGACAUGAAUGCCUAUCUCACAGCCAAGAAUUUCAGAGCAAAUUUCAAACACGAUGAUCCACCGAUUUGCGAGAGGGAUUGUCGGAACAAGGCGUCUACAGCUGACGAGACCAUCAUCACAUAAAAGUUCCAUGAUAUCUGGAAUGUGGUGAAAGUUGUUAAUAGCCUCAUCGAACUUAUGUUUCCAUAGUCAGACAGCGAGGACGACGACAACAACCUUGCUUAAAAUAUCUCUUCAUGUAUUUAUGUCUAAUCCAUGCCACCAUGGUGUCAUGGUGUCACCAGACUAGAGAAGUCGGAUGCUAGCCGCUAGACAAGCUUGAGCCUCUGCACAGGAGCAUCAUCAACUUAUUCUUAUCUCCCUGCACCUGCCAUUACUGCAGCCUUGUCAUUAACUUUGUUUCAUCAGGAAAGUUUCAUCAUUGUUGACUUUUUUGUAGUGCUUCUCAUUUGUUUUUUUAACAUAGUGCAAUGCCAUUUUUCUUGCAUGAUCCACCCCUUCUUCCACUAUUCUUCUUUGUUCACCGGCAGUAGCUUCCAUGCAGAACACAUCAAUUUUAUUGCCUUCUAAUUAUAAGGUAUGCAAGAGUGUUCAUUCACACGCGAACUGGCAAAUAGGUUAUUUUUUUACGGGUCCUCGCAAAACCCGUAAAAUGAUUUUAUUUACAGUCUUGCGGGCAAUAUUUUAGUUCAUAGCUAAAGUAACAUAUUUUUUGCACUCUCUUUUUGUUAGGAUAAUCUCUCUUAAUAGAAUUGUGUGAAAACAAACACAUGAACUUUUGGGGGUGAUGUCAUGAGCCACGAAUGCAGAACACAUGAACUUCCUUGUGCUGACAUUUCUCCACUCCUUUUUACUAGUCUGUAUGUAAUUUCUUCUUUUGGUUGGAUAUAGGGAAACAUUGCAUUCUCAGAUAUGAGAACUCUUGAGCUGGCUGUUGCUUAUAAAUCUGCCAAUCAAAGGGGAACAUUGAUCAACUCCCUUAGAUCCUGUCCCUACCUAAGAAUCCUGAUCAUAUGGGUAUGUAUUCAACUUUAUCUGGUUCAAUUCGAUGGAAAAAAUGAUGUUCUGUUAUAUAUGUCUUUGAUGGAUCAGAAAGUACUAAUGUCAAGCAAUGCCUUCUUUAUUAUGGCCGCACAGAGGGCAGAUGAAUCAUCAGAAUAAGAAGAGAUAGGUGUUAUCAUCGAUGAUACAUCUGCUAAACUAAAGCAAAUUUACUGUGUAAGAUUACAACUUGAGGUUCUGAGGUUGAAGGGAUACAGAGGUGGAUCAGCAGAAACCGUUAUCGCAUCAAGUGUUCUGGAGCAUGCAGCAGUGCUCCAGACACCUUAACAUUGAGACUGAUACUGACAAUCGAGUCAAGAGUUUUGCUUGAGAAAGCGCAGCAAAUACUUCAGAGUGUUGAUCGCAUUUUCCCUCCCGCUAAUAUGCACUUUAACUGAGAUCAGAGUCAGCCCCCAACGUAAGUUGAACUGUCUUUUUAUUUGUGCGAUCCAUGUCUGUAGUCUUUUGUGGACUCUUGUGGUGCUAUAUGGUAUUGAAAUAGUAGUCGUUUUUUCGCUGAUGAGGAGUAUUGAAAUAGUGAUCACUGAUCAGGCGGUGCAAUAGUGUGAUGAUGAAAUCUACAUUUGGUUCUGCUCAAAAGUAAUUUUUGGUUCAUGCAUGGAAGUAAUAUAUGUGUGCAAUAGUUGAUGAAGAAAUCACUGAUCAGGAUGGAUCGAGAUCGAGUAGACGGUAGGGAUCUCGAUCUGCUAGGCGUAGGCUAGCUAGCGCAGACCGAUCGAUCGAGUACUAUAUGUGUGCUUAAUUAAUUACCAGCUUUUAUUUUCUCUUCUUCUUUUUUACCAGAGGAAAUGCAUGGUUAUUAAUUAGAGGAUCGCAUCGGAAGAAUUAACGUACAGCUAGCUGUCAAUUCUCUUGUGUAUGCGUGGCACAAACAAAUUAAAGGUACACUCAUAUAUGUAUGAUUUAUAUGAGCCACGAUUAAGCUGCCCGCCGAUCAUGAUUCUCUAGCUUUAUUAAUUCCACCGAUAUUUAGCUUUCUUUCAUGUUGUGCAGACAUCAAUGAUCUACCAGCAUGCAUAUACUCCCUCCCUUCUAAAAUAUAUGAUUCUAAAAUAUAUGAUGCCGUUGACUUUUUUCAUUUGUUUGACUAUUCAUCUUUUCUACAAAUAUUUUUUAAAAUAAAUUUAAAAUACAUUUAACAAUAGACAUAAUAAUACACAUUUUAUUUUAGUUAACUAACCCGUUCAAUAAAUAUUGAUGAUCAAAGUUGGAGUAAAAAGUCAAUGACGUUAUAUAUUUAAGAACGGAGGGAGUAUAUAGUUGCAUUAUAUUACUACUACUACUACCACUACUAGAAAACUGAGCAUUCGUCCCGAGGCUCUGUACCGGUUGAAUUUUUGCAUGGUACUAAUAUGAUCAUUAGUACCGGACCUAACGGGUAGUCCCCGAGAAGCGCCCUGUGACCCCCUUUAGUACCGGAUGGACUUCCCACCCUGUACUAAAUCCAUCCGUCCACCCGCACCCGUCCAUGAGAAAAAGCAAGACAGCAGGAGGCCCCUUAUCCAUCCGUCCGUCCGCUCCUUAUCCUCUCCUUCCUCUACCUCAGCACCCUCAUCCUCUCCUCUCUCUCUUAGCUCUCUCUCUCUCUCUCUCUCUCUCAGCACUCCGUCUCCCCUCCCCUCCCACCUCCGCUCGCCCCUCACCGGCAGUGAGGAGCAGCGACGGGGCGAGGUGAGGCGGCGACGGCAGGUGGCGGUCGAGCAAGGUGAGGCAACUGGGGGGAGGGCGGCGGGAGCGGCAGUAGGUGGAGGCAGGCGGACGUGCGGGUGAGGGUGGCGGGUGGAGGAGGGAGCGGCAAGCGGAGGUGGGCGGCGGGGUUGGGUGGGGGCGGACGGCGGGUGAAGGCGGGAGCGGUGGUGGGCGGAGGAGAGCGGCGGGGCCGGGCGGAGGCGGGCGGUGGGAGGCGACGGGCGAAGGUGGACGACUUCGAUGUGCUCGCUUGCUACCCAGUGGGGAGCUGGCGGUGGCGCACGCUCUCGCAGCCACCAUUUGUCCAUGACCCCAGGUACAGGGCUCCUAACGACAAGGCUGCCGUCGCGGUGGUCGGCGGCGACGCCAUGAUCUGCGUGUCCGCCGCCACCACGACCUACGCGUUUGACACAGUGGCGCGCUUGCAAGGCCGGCGACUGGGUCCUGUCGUUCCACAGUGAGGUUGCGCACGUUCCUGUGCUCGGCCUUUGGAUCGCCAUCUUGGCUGGCAGUAGUGGCAGCCGCAAUGACGUGUGCGUCGUGGACCUCGCCGCCGCUGGGAUGGGCUCGCCGUCAGUGACGCAGCAUGUCGGGCUAGAUCUUGGUGACCUGCCCGAGAACUGAUCGCUGGCGGCGAGCACGCGGGCUGGUGGAGCGCCAGGGGCACACAGGUGGUGGCGGCCUACUCGCGAUGCUAAUGGGCAGGACGGGUUAGAUGCAAAGAGGCAGGGGGCAUUUGCAAAAGUGGUCGGCGGGUGUUGGGGGGGCGUUUAACUGCAAAAUAAUCUCACCACUAACUUUAUCCAUUGGAUUAGCAUCUUGUAGUCUUGAUUCAAAGUUUCAAAGUUGCACGGGUUGAUGGUUUGCACUCGAUACGUUCCCUCCCAACCGAUAUUAAUGACGUUUUCCCUAAUAGUAUACUACUUCUACUAUUAUUAUUAUUAUGAGAGAGGGGGGGGAGGGAGGAAAAGGAAAUACUAAUAUAAUUAUGCUAGGGCGGCAGCGCCAUCGAUGGUCGUCAAACAUUGAUUCAUCCAUAUGAUAUGCUUUUUGAUCGAUAAUUCAUCGCCAAAAGAUAUAGUAGCUAGAUAGCUCCAUCUCAAGUGCGUUACGUACGAUUUCGCGCACUGUCGACAUCAUCUUUUCCCGGCCCGGCCCUCUAGUGACAAGUAGUGCAGCAUGCAUGUGCCCUAGCUUCUCGCCCAACCCUAACCGUACCUCCCUAGAGCAGACAGAGACAGAUCCAUAGAAAUGUAUGGAGAGAUCGAGCAAGUCUCUAGUAGCUAGCAAAGAGAGAAUGGCAAAUUGCCCUUUCCCUGUUGGCAGGCAGCACCAGCGUCCCCCCUCUCCGUCUCGUGUACGCAUACGAGUAUAUGCAAACACUAGCUAGUCUCCCAUUUUUUUGAAAGGCAGCAUGCAUAAGGUGUGUUUACUCAUCACGUGGAAGCCAAACUUUUACCACACUAGCUACUGUGUCUAUAGAGACAUUAUAGCAACUGUACUGUGUGUACCUACAACUCUACCAUAUAUAUACCAUUUAUAAUAUAUAUAUAUAUAUAUAAUCUCAAUAUUUAAUUACAAAGAGCAGUUUAGUGGCCUCUGGUAGUAAUUCAUUAGAAUACUGCACCAGAAUUCAUGUGAACAAAAACAAGCUUGUAAUCGGCAUUGUCAUGUUUACUAGAAGAUUGCUAUAUUAUUCUCACACCGAAUUGCAUUUUUUUAAGAAAUUAAAUUUUCUCAACAAUUUGGACUUUUGUGGUAACAGACAGCGCCAUUACAAUACAUUGCAGUCCGGUGAGCAGUGAUAGCCAAGAGAUGUGGCUGAUGCUCAUGACUUUAGCAAAUUAGAUUAGCAAUUAAAAAGUAGUACUUACCCAUGCAUGCGAAUCAGAGUUAAACGUUACAAUAAUGCAGCACCGUCAACAUCAUCUUUUCCCGACCGGCCCGGCCCUCUAUUGACAAGUACUGCAGCAUGUGCCCUAGCUUCUCGCCCAACCCUACGUCCGUAGCAGAGAGAGCAGAUCCAUAGAAAUACAUGGAGAGAGCCAAGUCUCUGGCAAAGAGAAUGCCAAAUCAAAGUCUCCAGCCAGCACCAGCUCUCUCUCUCUCUCUCUCUCUCUCUCUCUCUCUCGUGCACGCAUACAUAUCCAAACACUAGUUACCAUUUUUGAAAGGCAUGCACUAGGCACGCAUGAGGUGUACUCGUCACGUGGAAGCCUAACUUUUACCGCACACUAGCUACCGAAGCAAAUCAGAGUUAAACGUUAUAAUAAUAUUGUAUGUAGUUAAAGGUAGGAAAAGUGUCGUCAGAAUUAACUCUUCUGAUCAAGUUUUUUCUCUUCAGAGAAUUUUUUUUCUAGAAAAAGGAAUGUUCUCUGAACUCUGCGACUUCUCUUCAGAGAUGGAUCCCAAAGGAAUAUUGGUUAAAAUAGUAGGUAUCAUUUGGAUGGAAUGUAAACACGUGUAUGGAAUAUUUCAUUUUACGUACCUUUCCAUAACAAAUAUUUAAAAAGUCACUAUUUAAAUUCAAUGGGGUUUGAGACAAUACCCCCUCUUGUAUCAAAUAAACAACUUUUUUUUACACUUCUGUCCGGUUGAAUUUUCAGAAUCGCAAGUGUUAAUAUUUUUUUUUGUACUUUCUGCCUGUGAAAUCCAUCCGUUCAGGAGCAUCGUGGUGUCCCUCGACUCUAGCAGCCAGUUCAGGAGUAUCAAUGAGGCGCUUUUAGCUACUUCUGCUGAGGACCGCCGAUCGGCAACAAGGUUGGUCGGUAUAUUAUAUACCUCAAGGAAGGAGUCUACGAGGAGAUGGUGCACAUCACGAGGAAGCAUGUCAUCCUCAUCGGUGAAGGCGCAGGGAAGUCGGUCAUAACCUGGAGGAAGAGCGUGGCGUUUGACCAUCUCAGCACGGCGGAUACGGCGACCGUGAGUAAGUGAUGAUCAUCCUAAUCCUCGCUCGAUCUGUACGUCGUCUGUCGAUCCAAUAUGUGUAUUGCAUUGCAAGCAGAGCAACUCGAUCGAUCCAUCCAUCUCUCAAUUGUCAUCAUCCAUGCAUCUCUGAUCGAUCUCUCAAUUGACUAGCUAUAGCUUGCUUAUUAAUGCUAGUGUGCUUGGCUUGCUCCUUGCAGGUGUCUAUGGUAAGGGCUUCAUGGCGCAGGGCAUCACGAUUAGGAGCACCGCACGUCCGACCGGGAAGCAAGUCGUCGCCCUGAUGUCCAGAUCCCAUUACUCGCUCGUGUACCGGUGCUCUAUGGAGGGCUACCAGGACACACUAGAUGCCGACACCGCUUGCAGAUCAGAUGUAUACCGGAAACUUUAGCUUUAGUCCUGGUUGGUAGGGGCUAAAUCUCUCUAAAAACCAUCCGAGAUAAAUUUUUUGAGAGAAGGGGAGCACAGCUCCCUUUAAUCCCGGUUGGUUUGGUGUACCAACCGGGACUAGGGUUCGAAACACAUUAACUCUAGGGUACUGGGGUUGCCAGAUUGUCCACUAAAGCAGUUUCUCUCCCAAGAGCGGUGUCCCUGCGGACUUUCUGUACUCUCUCUCGUGCACGCAUAUAUAUGCAAACACUAGUUACCAUUUUUGAAAGGCAUGCACUAGCCACGCAUGAGGUGUACUCAUCACGUGGAAGCCUAACUUUUACAACACACUAGCCCAUGCAAAUCAGAGUUCAACGUUACAAUAAUGCUGUAUGUAGUUAAAGGUAGGAAAAGUGUCAUCAGAAUUAACUCUUCCGAUCAAGUUUUUUCCUUCAGAGAAUUUUUUUUUAGAAAAAGGAAUAUUCUCCGAACUCUGCGACUUCUCUUCAGAGAUGGAUCCCAAAGGAAUAUUGGUUAAAACAGUAGCUAUCAUUUGGAUGAAAUAUAAAUACGUGUAUGGAAUAUUUCAUUUUACGUACCUCCAGUGCCGUCCUGCCCCGGUGCCUGAGAACCGAAACCGGAUGGUCCGCCCCGCCGCCGCCGUCUUCGAGGGUCGGACGGGCUUCGGCGGCCCCCUUCGGUGGCGGCGAGGUGAGGAUGAGGGGCGGUGGGGGGUUUGGCGGCGGCGGCACGGGCGUCAUCUGGUCACCCACGGGGAGGGGGGGGGGG